GAUGAAGAACGCAGCGAAAUGCGAUAAGUAAUGUGAAUUGCAGAAUUCAGUGAAUCAUCGAAUCUUUGAACGCACAUUGCGCCCCUUGGUAUUCCGAGGGGCAUGCCUGUUCGAGCGUCAUUACACCACUCAAGCUAUGCUUGGUAUUGGGCGUCGUCCUUAGUUGGGCGCGCCUUAAAGACCUCGGCGAGGCCACUCCGGCUUUAGGCGUAGUAGAAUUUAUUCGAACGUCUGUCAAAGGAGAGGAACUCUGCCGACUGAAACCUUUAUUUUUCUAGGUUGACCUCGGAUCAGGUAGGGAUACCCGCUGAACUUAAGCAUAUCAAUAAGCGGAGGA
rnacentral:misc_RNA from 1 species